rnacentral:lncRNA from 1 species
UAGCCAAAACCCAAAAAUUUUGCAAACCUAAUAGAGUCCCAUCGGAGGCCUGCUACUUUAUUUACUCUGCGGUCCUAUCACUUGCCUUUUUCUAUGUCUCGUACUCCCUCCGUACCUCGAAAAGUUGACAUUCUGGACUCCUAUACUCCCUCCAUUUUAAAAAAUGGACGUUUAGGAUAAGAUUGUGAUAACCAAGAAGUCAUUAAUUAGGGGGUAUUUUUCCUCCUUUACCCCUAUUAAAUAAGCUGUGGGGUGCAUGUUAUCUAGGAAAGAUUUGUAGUUCUACUGGCUAGCAAGCGCGAGUUGGGUGGAUGGCUGUUAGGGGGUUGGUUCGAUCCCUGGUGGCCGCGCUAUUUUUGGGCACUGAGUAGAUUUUCACUUUUUUUUCAUGUUUUUUCAUGGUACUGUGCGUGUGCGGGCAGGGAUGGCACGCGCUUAUUUCGUUGAUUUGGACGUGUCCGUGCUUGUAGCCGCGUUUGGAGCCUGUUCGCCGCGUUGAGCACAUUGUUUGCCGCUUUUUUUUCCUUUUUUUCCUUUGACUUUCAACGCGCUUUUGUUGGCGCUUUUUUUCGUUUACCUGAACUGCGCGAACGGACGCACGCGAGCCUUCAAUGCGGGCGACGAACGAGGCCCCUGCGAGCCUUCAAUGCGGGCGACGAACGAGGCCGCACGCGAAGGGACGCACGCGAACGGGCGGUUCGCAGGGGCAAAUGCGUCCACAAUACUCUCCGCUGCUUAGGACGUCUGUUUUUGCGAAACCGGGUCUCCGCCCUAGGACGUCUCUUUUUUCAGUAUGGAGGGAGUAUGAUUUUCGCGAAACUUGUCGUCCUACCAUCGCAGCGGCUCGUGCGGACGGAAAUACCCCCGAUGGCUCGCGUCCUUGUGGUCUACCGAUGGAUUAAAAUUAAUUGCCAACCAAUUAGUCACCGCGCUUGCGUCUAUUCAGCUCUUCCGGCACGCGCCAUGCAAGCGGCAAGCCAGAACACACGCCACGCCCCGUGCAAAAAAAUAAGUAGCCAUCAGGGCUCGAACCUGGAUCACGACACACUAGUAGCAGUGCACUGGCCAACUGAGUUGGCUAACUUUCUCGUAUAGAGAGCACCCGCCACUCUAUUUAUUAGGGGCAGAUAUGGAAAACUAACCUCUAAUUAAUUAUUUCUUGGUUACCACAAUCAUGUUCUAAACGUCAAGAAUUAUGGGUAUGGAGGGAGUAUUUGUUUUCUCUUCUCUUUUUUUUGAAUAAACAUACUCUCUCUCCUAAGCUACAACAGCUUGCAGAACAACUACUGACACUCUACAAACCACCACUUUAUCUCGAGAUGGCA